GGCCCGGUAGUGUAAUGGUAACACACCUGCUUAUCUUUACCCCCUGUGAUCGUCUGCAGGAGUCCCCCGUUCAACUCGGGGCUGGGCCA